CGGAUAGUAAUCUUAUAACUCCUGCGAUUAAUGUUACUGUGAAUUGCUCGUGUGGGGACAGGGUCAUUUCCAAGGAUUAUGGGUUGUUCAUCACGUAUCCUNNNNNNNNGUCAAUUGCAAGUCGGUUCAAUGUUACUGCUGAGGAGCUGCAGAGAUAUAACGUUGGUGCCAAUUUUAGUGGAGGAAGUAGUUUGCUGUAUAUUCCAG
rnacentral:misc_RNA from 1 species